UACAGUCAGGGCAUUAUGAUGUGGAGUAGUGACAGCAAUGCACUACCCACUGGACUUUGGGUUUCCACUAUGACAAUCACCUCCCUAUCCUAUAUAAAUACAGAUGUGAAACCACAACCUUCACACUUGUUCUUCAGACAGGACAGCGUCAAUCAAAACACACAGACACAGACUAAAACUGAACACCAUGAAGGUUCUUGUGGUUCUUGCACUUGCUGUAUUUACAGGUUGCCAGGCCAACCUAUUCUCUGCUGAUGAGCCCAAGCCACAGCUGGAGCAGCUGACUGAUGCAUUCUGGAGCUAUGUGUCAAAGGCAACACAAACCGCAGAGGAAACCGUCAAGAUGAUCAGGUCUUCCCAACUGGGACAGGACGUCAAUGCUAGACUGACCCAGAGUGCCGAUGUGGCCAGCGAAUAUGCCAUCACCCUCAAGAAACAGGUGGAUCCUCUGGCUGAAGAGCUGAUGACCAGAAUCACCAAAGAGACUGAAGUGUUGAGGGAGCGUUUGGGCCAGGACCUGAUCACUGUGAGAGACCAGCUGGAGCCCUAUGCCGACAACCUCAAGAGCCAGAUCCAGCAGAGAGUGGAGGAGCUCAGGACCGCCAUGACUCCAUAUGCAGAAUCCCUGGAUUCUGAGACCCUGAAAGCCACUCUGCUCCAGAAGAGUGAGGAGCUGAGAGGAAACCUGGAGCAGAGCGUGAAGGAGCUGCAGGCUCAGCUGGAGCCCUACACUGCUGAAAUCAAGGAGAAGGUUGACCAGCGUCUGCAGGAGUUCCAGAAGACCGUGACCCCUCUGGCUGAGGAUCUUCAGGCCCAGAUUAGAGAGAGAGCCCAGAUGGUCCAGCAGAGUCUCACACCCUACGCUGAAGACCUGAAGGAAAAGCUGGACCCCUACGCACAGGACCUGAAGGACCAGCUCACCUCCCUGUACGAGUCCUUCAUUAAGAGAAGUUAGAUCCUACCAACAGACUUUUGCCGAUUGCUGCUAAUGUAAUUAGAUCUUAGAUACAGUUAAAUGUGAAAGUGUGUUCUUCACUUUCUGUGGUCGACAUUAACAAACGCUGCUGACAGUAUACAUUGACCUGAUGGAAGUAUUCACAACCAUGAAACAAAACACAAAGGUCCAAUGAAAAAUGUGUAUCUACAUUUGAACAAUGAUUUCUAUGUUUGAAAUUAAUUUGUUUAAAUGAAUUAAAAAUUUUGUUCUAGGA